GCCAUUUGUCUUUCAGAGAGAGGAGAGGAAACGAAAAAAGACCAGACGAGAUGAGAGAGAGAGGAGAGGAAACGAGGAGUAAUCAAGAAAAAGACCAGACCAGGCCAGACGAGAGGCGAGGAGGCAGGACAGCGUGUAUUGUGAACCCUCUCCUUUAAAAAGAAAGAGGAGAGGAAACAGCACGAGGAGGAGACAAGAUAAAGAUGAAGCUGCUGCAGCAAGACCAUCAGAGAUACUUUACAUGUGUCCUGUUUGCUAGUUACAUCGUAGCAUGGAGUUCUUUAAGACCCGCUGGGUUAAUUUACAUUUUUUGGUAAAAAAUAAGUUAUUUAGUAUCUGUAUCGUCUGUGCAGCCACAUGAUGCACAAACUAUAUCUGACUGUGAACACAGAAAACACUUGGUUGUAAUAAAGUCAGUCUCUUCAGGGAUAAUAA